rnacentral:rRNA from 1 species
GAUGAACGCUGGCGGCGUGCCUAAUACAUGCAAGUCGAGCGAACAGACGAGGAGCUUGCUCCUCUGACGUUAGCGGCGGACGGGUGAGUAACACGUGGAUAACCUACCUAUAAGACUGGGAUAACUUCGGGAAACCGGAGCUAAUACCGGAUAAUAUAUUGAACCGCAUGGUUCAAUAGUGAAAGACGGUUUUGCUGCCACUUAUAGAUGGAUCUGCGCCGCAUUAGCUAGUUGGUAAGGUAACGGCUUACCAAGGCAACGAUGCGUAGCCGACCUGAGAGGGUGAUCGGCCACACUGGAACUGAGACACGGUCCAGACUCCUACGGGAGGCAGCAGUAGGGAAUCUUCCGCAAUGGGCGAAAGCCUGACGGAGCAACGCCGCGUGAGUGAUGAAGGUCUUCGGAUCGUAAAACUCUGUUAUUAGGGAAGAACAAAUGUGUAAGUAACUAUGCACGUCUUGACGGUACCUAAUCAGAAAGCCACGGCUAACUACGUG